AUGAUGUUUGAGCAUGUACUUUUUUUGAGUGUCUAUUUAUUUUCGAUUGUUAUCUAUGGAUUGAUCACAAGCCGAAACAUGGUUAGAGCUCUAAUAUGUCUUGAACUUAUACUGAAUUCAAUUAAUCUAAAUAUCGUAACAUUUUCUAAUCUAUUUGAUAGUCGCCAAUUAAAAGGAGAUAUUUUCGCAAUUUUUGUUAUAGCCCUUGCGGCUGCUGAAGCCGCUAUUGGACUAUCCAUUCUUUCUUCCAUCCAUCGUAAUAGGAAAUCCACUCGUAUCAAUCAAUCUAAUUUAUUGAAUAAUUCUAGCAAUUGCCAAUAA
rnacentral:rRNA from 1 species